rnacentral:misc_RNA from 1 species
UUUCCGUAGGUGAACCUGCGGAAGGAUCAUUAAUGAUUUGAAAAAAAAGUGAGCUCAUGAAUAUGAGUUUUACUUUACACUUCUUUUAAACCCCUGUUUUAAAAAUGUUUACUAGAGUGUUUUUAAAAUUAUAACUGUAAUGGUUGUAAUGAAAAAGUUUAAUAAUAAAACUUUCAGCAAUGGAUCUCUUGGUUCAG